rnacentral:rRNA from 1 species
CCUACGGGAGGCAGCAGUGGGGAAUAUUGCGCAAUGGGCGAAAGCCUGACGCAGCCACGCCGCGUGUGUGAAGAAGGCCUUCGGGUUGUAAAGCACUUUCAGUGGGGAGGAAAAGCUGGUGGCUAAUAUCCAUCGGCCGUGACGCUACCCACAGAAGAAGCACCGGCUAAUUCCGUGCCAGCAGCCGCGGUAAUACGGAAGGUGCGAGCGUUAAUCGGAAUUACUGGGCGUAAAGCGCACGUAGGUGGCUUGGUAAGUCGGAUGUGAAAGCCCCGGGCUCAACCUGGGAACUGCAUUCGAUACUGCCGAGCUAGAGUACGAAAGAGGGGGGUGGAAUUCCAGGUGUAGCGGUGAAAUGCGUAGAGAUCUGGAGGAACACCAGUGGCGAAGGCGGCCCCCUGGCUCGAUACUGACGCUGAGGUGCGAAAGCGUGGGGAGCAAACAGGAUUAGAUACCCUAGUAGUC